CAUAAUAGCGCCUUCGUCGGUGCCCGCCGCGACCACGCCACGGGCCUAAGAGGGAAUACGGAGCGAUCUGAUGAUCGUGACCGAGCUGCCCCCGCAACUGUAAACAGCGAAUCCUCCGCGCACACGCCACUGGGAAACCGGGAAGGCCGCGGAUGAUGAAGACCUGUCAGCCAGGAGACCUGCCGACGACGCUGGUCGCGA
rnacentral:ncRNA from 2 species